rnacentral:rRNA from 1 species
GAUGAACGCUGGCGGCGUGCUUAACACAUGCAAGUCGAACGGUGAAGCAGGAGCUUGCUCUUGUGGAUCAGUGGCGAACGGGUGAGUAACACGUGAGCAACCUGCCCCUGACUCUGGGAUAAGCGCUGGAAACGGCGUCUAAUACUGGAUAUGUGAUGUGACCGCAUGGUCUGCAUCUGGAAAGAAUUUCGGUUGGGGAUGGGCUGGCGGCCUAACAGCUUGUUGGUGAGGUAAUGGCUCACCAAGGCGUCGACGGGUAGCCGGCCUGAGAGGGUGACCGGCCACACUGGGAAGGAGACAAGGCCCAGACUCCGACGGGAGGCAGCAGUGGGGAAUAUUGCACAAUGGGCGGAAGCCUGAUGCAGCAACGCCGCGUGAGGGAUGACGGCCUUCGGGUUGUAAACCUCUUUUAGCAGGGAAGAAGCGAAAGUGACGGUACCUGCAGAAAAAGCACCGGCUAACUACGUGCCAGCCGCCGCAGUAA